UGGGGAAUAUUGCACAAUGGAGGGAACUCUGAUGCAGCGACGCCGCGUGAGUGAUGAAGGAAUUCGUUUCGUAAAACUCUGUUCUAUGGGAAGAAAAGGACUGUACCAUAGGAGAAAGCUCCGGCUAAAUACGUGCCAGCAGCCGCGGUAAUACGUAUGGAGCGAGCGGUGUCCGGAAUUAUUGGGCGUAAAGGGUGCGCAGGCGGCUUUACAAGUUGGAUGUGAAAUAUUGUGGCUCAACCACAAACGUGCAUCCAAAACUGCAAAGCUUGAGUUAAGGAGAGGUAAGAGGAAUUCCUGGUUUAGCGGUGGAAUGCGUAGAUAUCAGGAGGAAUACCGGUGGCGAAGGCGACUUACUGGACUUAAACUGACGCACAGGCACGAAAGCGUGGGGAGCAAACAGG
rnacentral:rRNA from 1 species